rnacentral:rRNA from 1 species
GUAGGUGGCAAGCGUUGUCGGAAUUAUUGGGCGUAAAGCGCGCGCAGGCGGUUCUUUAAGUCUGAUGUGAAAGCCCACGGCUCAACCGUGGAGGGUCAUUGGAAACUGGAGAACUUGAGUACAGAAGAGGAAAGCGGAAUUCCACGUGUAGCGGUGAAAUGCGUAGAGAUGUGGAGGAACACCAGUGGCGAAGGCGGCUUUCUGGUCUGUAACUGACGCUGAGGCGCGAAAGCGUGGGGAGCAAACAGGAUUAGAUACCCUGGUAGUCCACGCCGUAAACGAUGAGUGCUAGGUGUUAGGGGGUUUCCGCCCCUUAGUGCUGCAGCUAACGCAUUAAGCACUCCGCCUGGGGAGUACGGCCGCAAGGCUG